AAACCUGAUAAACUGAAGCCAAUGCAACUCUGUCGCAAAAGGACUAAACAUUCAACAACGACAAUGCUUCACUAUUGCAACAUUUUGUGACCCACGUUUCAAAACUCGUUUUUUUUCUGAUGCCAAUAAAGCUAAAAACUGGGUUGUUGAUGAACUUAUUCGAAAUUAUAAAUCAGUUACCAUGGAGAAACCAGUUGAAUCAUAUGAAAAAUGCCGAACUAUAGUGAACGCUUCCAUCGGAGAUCGAGCUCACGAAGAUAUUUGCCAAUGAUUUGAGGAAAUCGCCAACGGCUCUGAUGCUGAUUCUAGUGUUUCUAGUGAUAUGGAUAGCCAAACGAUUGGUAGACAAGGCAGCGAACGUACA